GAUCCUGGCUCGAGGACGAACGCUGGCGGCGUGCUUAACACAUGCAAGUCGAACGGGUGAGUACCUUCGGGUGCUCAUUAGUGGCGGACGGGUGAGUAACGCGUGAGCAACCUGCCUUACAGUGGGGGAACAACACAGGGAAACUUGUGCUAAUACCGCAUAAAGUAUCCGGAGGGCAUCUUCUGGAUACCAAAGCAGCAAUGCGCUGUAAGAUGGGCUCGCGUCCGAUUAGAUAGUUGGCGGGGUAACGGCCCACCAAGUCGACGAUCGGUAGCCGGACUGAGAGGUUGGCCGGCCACAUUGGGACUGAGACACGGCCCAGACUCCUACGGGAGGCAGCAGUGGGGAAUAUUAGGCAAUGGGGGAAACCCUGACCUAGCAACGCCGCGUGAAGGAUGAAGGUUUUCGGAUUGUAAACUUCUUUGGCAGGGGACGAUAAUGACGGUACCCUGAGAACAAGCCACGGCUAACUACGUGCCAGCAGCGGC
rnacentral:rRNA from 1 species